GAUCCCGGCGGAGGCUACUGCUAUUGGGAUUCGAUUAACCCAUCCAAGUCGAACGAGUUUAGACUCGUGGCGUACGGCUCAGUAACACGUGGAUAACCUACCCUUAGAACUGGGAUAACCCUGGGAAACUGGGGAUAAUACCGGAUAGGCAAUUAUUCCCGUAAUGGUUUUUUGUUUAAAUGUUUUUUUCGCCUAAGGAUGGGUUCUCCGGCCGAUUAGGUAGUUGGUUAGGUAAUGGCCUACCAAGCCUUUGAUCGGUACGGGUUGUGAGAGCAAGAGCCCGGAGAUGGAACCUGAGACAAGGUUUCCAGGCCCUACGGGGUGCAGCAGGCGCGAAACCUCCGCAAUGUGAGAAAUCGCGACGGGGGGAUCCCAAGUGCCAUUCUUAACGGGAUGGCUUUUCAUUAGUGUAAAGAGCUUUUGGAAUAAGAGCUGGGCAAGACCGGUGCCAGCCGCCGCGGUAACACCGGCAGCUCUAGUGGUAGCAGUUUUUAUUGGGCCUAAAGCGUCCGUAGCCGGUUUAAUAAGUCUCUGGUGAAAUCCUGCAGCUUAACUGUGGGAAUUGCUGGAGAUACUAUUAGACUUGAGAUCGGGAGAGGUUAGAGGUACUCCCAGGGUAGAGGUGAAAUUCUGUAAUCCUGGGAGGACCGCCUGUUGCGAAGGCGUCUGACUGGAACGAUUCUGACGGUGAGGGACGAAAGCUAGGGGCGCGAACCGGAUUAGAUACCCGGGUAGUCCUAGCUGUAAACGAUGCGGACUUGGUGUUGGGGUGGCUUUGAGCUGUCCCCAGUGCCGAAGGGAAGCUGUUAAGUCCGCCCCCCGGGNAAGUACGGUCGCAAGACUGAAACUUAAAGGAAUUGGCGGGGGGAGCACCACAACGCGUGGAGCCUGCGGUUUAAUUGGAUUCAACGCCGGACAUCUCACCAGAGGCGACAGCUGUAUGAUAGCCAGGUUGAUGACUUUGCUUGACUAGCGAGGGAGGUGCAUGGCCGCCGUCAGCUCGUACCGUGCCUUAGGGUAAGUCAGGCAACGAGCGAGA
rnacentral:rRNA from 1 species